rnacentral:lncRNA from 1 species
AAAUACGUUGUAAAUCUAUAGUUAUAUAUGAAAAGCCUACAGAAAAAAUGUGGCUGUGGUUCUGAAUACUCCCCGCUCCAGAACUUAUUUUUUCACUUCCUAGCAGUGGAAUGGUUGGAGAAAUGACUUCUUUGACUUGUCCCUGUGCGGCGGGGUUCGUCAUUUCCGCAAGGAUUCGAUUAUGUUUUAAUAAAUUGUUGAUCUGCUUUCUUACUUAUAAGAGGACAUUUCGUUUUCCCUGCUCUGCUCUGUGCAUGCGCAUUUCCGUUCGCCUCGCUGCUGUCUGCGUUUCGCUUCGCGUGUUCCGUGCCACUGCCAGAGAUCGCAUGUGGUCGGCGUCGCAUCCCG